rnacentral:rRNA from 1 species
GAUGAACGCUGGCGGCGUGCUUAACACAUGCAAGUCGAACGGAAAGGCUCCUGCUUGCUGGGGUACUCGAGUGGCGAACGGGUGAGUAACACGUGGGUGAUCUGCCCUGCACUUCGGGAUAAGCCUGGGAAACUGGGUCUAAUACCGGAUAGGAGCACGGUCUGGAUGCCAUUGUGGGAAGUUUUUCGGUGGGGGAUGAGCUCGCGGCCUAUCAGCUUGUUGGUGGGGUAAUGGCCUACCAAGGCGUCGACGGGUAGCCGGCCUGGGGGGGUGUACGGCCACAUUGGGACUGGGGUACGGCCCAGACUCCUACGGGAGGCAGCAGUGGGGAAUAUUGCACCAUGGGCGCAAGCCUUAUGCAGGGACGCCGCGUGGGGGAUGACGGCCUUCGGGUUUUAAACUCCUUUCGCUAGGGACGGAGCGCAAGUGACGGUAACUGGAGAAGAAGCACCGGCUAACUACGUG